AGCUCCAAUAGCGUAUAUUAAAGUUGUUGCGGUAAAAAAGCUCGUAGUUGGAUUUCUGUUGAGGACAACCGGUCCACACAACGUGUGCGUAUCUGGUUUGGCCUCGGCAUCCUCUCGAUAGACGUUUCUGCGCUUGAUUGCGUGGAGCGGAUCUCGGGACUUUUACUUUGAGGAAAUUAGAGUGUUCACGGCAGGCAAUCGCCAGAAUACGUUAGCAUGGAAUAAUAAUAUAGGAUCUCGAUUCUAUUUUGUUGGUUUCUAGAAUUGAGUUAAUGAUUAAUAGGGACAAUUGGGGGCAUUCGUAUCAACACGUCAGAGGUGGAAUUCUUGGAUUGUGUUGCGACGAACUACUGCGAAAGCAUUUGCCAAGGAUGUU
rnacentral:rRNA from 1 species